AUUGAACGCUGGCGGCAUGCCUUACACAUGCAAGUCGAACGGCAGCACGGGUGCUUGCACCUGGUGGCGAGUGGCGAACGGGUGAGUAAUACAUCGGAACAUGUCCUGUAGUGGGGGAUAGCCCGGCGAAAGCCGGAUUAAUACCGCAUACGAUCUACGGAUGAAAGCGGGGGACCUUCGGGCCUCGCGCUAUAGGGUUGGCCGAUGGCUGAUUAGCUAGUUGGUGGGGUUAAGGCCUACCAAGGCGACGAUCAGUAGCUGGUCUGAGGGGACGACCAGCCACACUGGGACUGAGACACGGCCCAGACUCCUACGGGAGGCAGCAGUGGGGAAUUUUGGACAAUGGGCGAAAGCCUGAUCCAGCAAUGCCGCGUGUGUGAAGAAGGCCUUCGGGUUGUAAAGCACUUUUGUCCGGAAAGAAAUCCUUGGCCCUAAUACGGUCGGGGGAUGACGGUACCGGAAGAAUAAGCACCGGCUAACUACGUG
rnacentral:rRNA from 1 species